AACACAUCGAAUCAUUGCCUUUGCCUUUAGUAUAGAUAAAUGACAACUGUGGUCGGGGAUUUUCACAAGAGAAAUUUAAACAAUUCCUUAUCAAUGAAAAGCAAAAACCCAAAGAAACACAAACAAUUUUUGAAAUCCUGUAUUUCGGUUUCACACACAAAGACGCUUCUCGAAGGAUCUGUAUCAUAAAUAAAGAAUUUGUAACAAUCCAUUGAUAGCUAUGUAAAGGCGCCUUGUUAUUUCAUGAUCCCAAUCACUCGAUGGAUGUGUUAGGAAAUUCCUGGAAAUUGAAAACAAAAGGCGUUAUUUAAUAUUACGGUUUAUAGGAAAAUUUUUGAAAUUAAUAACUUCAAAUGCUUACCCCUCUACAAAUUGAAUGACUAGAAUUGUCGGCAAACCUCUUUAACUUUUGUUUGAUAUAUUUUUGUGUAACACAUAUUAAAAUUGUAUGUAUUUUA